GAUGAACGCUAGCGGCAGGCCUUCACAUGCAAGUCGAGGGGUAACGUGAGUGCUUGCACUUGACGACGACCGGCGCACGGGUGCGGAACGCGUACGGAACCUACCUUUAUCAGGGAGAUAGCCCAUGGAAACGUGGAUUAAUAUCCCAUAGUAUUAUUUUAUCGCCUGAUAGAAUAAUUAAAGAAUUUCGGAUAGAGAUGGCCAUGCGUAUCAUUAGCUAGUAGGCGAGGUAACGGCUCACCUAGGCGACGAUGAUUAGGGGUCCUGAGAGGGAGAUCCCCCACACUGGUACUGAGACACGGACCAGACUCCUACGGGAGGCAGCAGUGAGGAAUAUUGGGCAAUGGAGGCAACUCUGACCCAGCCAUGCCGCGUGCAGGAAGACGGCCCUACGGGUUGUAAACUGCUUUUAUACAGGAAGAACACCACCCACGUGUGGGUGACUGACGGUACUGUAAGAAUAGGGACCGGCUAACUCCGUG
rnacentral:rRNA from 1 species